UGACGAUCAGUAACCUCGAGUGGGGACAAGUAUCCAUCCAGAUAGCGUAAUUAUGUGAUAAUAAGAUGCCUACCUGUCGCAUGUAUAUAUUUAGUUAUUGUCCUUCCGCAAGUCAAUUAUACCGCUGACUCUGACCAUUCCUCACUCCACGCAAAAAUUGAAUAUUCGGUAACAUGGGGUGCAAAAGAAGUAAAAAUGUGUUCCGAAAUUAUCCUCAACAUCUUGGGAUUGUCGCUUUCACUGGAAUCAUUACUUGUGUUCUGAUUCUAUUUAUGACAAGAAACCCAAAACUGUAUGCAUCAUUCUCAAAUAAUGAUUGUCGUCAAAGUGAAAGUGUCAUUAAUUUAGAGCAAAAUAAUGACAAUGACGAUGAAUACUCUUCACCGGUGUGGACCAGGAUCAGUGAUUCCAUCCACGUGUACAGCGCCCAUUUCGACCCACGCAUCAUCCACGGACCUCACUUUUCCAUAUUCUCCCCCGACUAUUCCUGGAAAAUGAGAACAAGUAAUUUGCAUAAGUCGAGCUUGGUUCGAAUAAUCGGAAUUAGGCGAUUCCCACCCACGGCCACCAUCAUCGCUCGGAAUCCCAUGGCCUGGCUUCUCAUCAAGGACGAGACGCUGUUCAGUGAUGACCACGAGUGCAAAUUAUUCCUCGCGAAUGGCUCCACUUUCUCUUCCGCCGUCCUCACGUAUCACGUCGUGGAGGAAGGAAUCAAAACAUUUGCGGCCUCUUUCUUCAACUGUUAUUUCGACCUCGAAGGAAAUGACGACUUAUUUCGAGGAGGAUUUGUAGCUUUGGUCCCCAAAAAUGAGGGGGAAUAUCCACUCAAACUACUAAAAAUCCAGAAUACCCGUCGGCCCGAUGUUGUAUCGCCACAGAAUGUCAAAAACUUAUCAUUGGCCAUUUGCACCCGGCCCCUGUUCUCGUCCCCCGAGGGAGACUUUGCCCUCGUUCGAAAACUAACUCAAUUUAUUUCCUACUACGUCGCACUUGGAGUGAAUUUCUUUACUUUCUACGAACUCAGCACUUUCCCAGGAGUGAGGAAGUACUUGAGAGAGUUGAGACGCCGUCAGGAUUUCCGGCACAAUUUCCGGUUGCAUGUACAAAAGUGGAAUUUGCCGACAGGAAAUACCUCCGAAUUAUGGGAUUAUGGUUCCCUGGCGGCGUUGAACGACUGUCUUUACCGGAAUAUGUGGGCCGAUCAUGUCCUCUUCCUGGAUCUCGAUGAGUUUAUAGUCCCGCAAAAAGAACACUCGUUGGGACAACUGAUCAAUUAUUUGGAGGAGAAAAGUGGAAGCAAAAAUAGGUUGUCAAUCUCUCCUCCUCAAAUUUUGAUCCGAAACACGUUCUUCUGUUCGGAAUUUUGCUCUGCAACUGGAGAGAACACAGUGACAUCGGCGACCUUGGAGGACACAUUUCCCAUUACGACGUGCAGAACAAGGACGAAACGAGUUUGGCAUGCGAAAUUGAGAACUAAAUUUAUCCUGCGGCCAACUUUAUCUAUUUCGGUGGGCCAUCACACUGCUCAUAAUUUUUGGAGGAACAGCAGCAAUUCAGGCAGGAGGACAGAUGAUAAAGUCGAAGUGUAUCAGGACCCAAGACAACAAAACUCCAUCAUUGCUGACGUUGGCGUUGCGCUUCUCAAUCAUUAUCGAGAAUGUGGACCAAUAUCCACCAAAAAACAACCCAUCCUCAACAGAUUAACGAUAAAGGACGAGAAAAUUGUUCGCCACAAACGGUGCAGACCUUGUUGGGCCCAACGCCGCGACCUCCGCCACUGCUCCCCUCACUCCGGUCAGUGUGCUGACGUUGGAGCAGAAUCCGUGGGGCCGGCCCCACCGUCCUGGCCGAUGACGACGAGUGGGGCUGAUUGUUGUGGGGGUGUGACUGCUGAUCACGUGGACUCAUGUCUUCCAAACGUAUCCCAUCGGCAGUAGCAGCUUCGGCGUCCCUUUCUUGCUCUCCCUGUUUCUGCUGCUGCUGGGAUUGUUGGGGUCCUGUUUCAUGGGAACAGUUUUCAUGAAAACUUAUUAGCGAAUUGAUGGUGACGGCAAAAGGUGUUGUUUAAGUACGGAUCAAUUUCUGCAAACUGGUAGGGAGGUCUGCAACGCCGAUUUUUCUGUCGCACUUGAAGCAUCCAACUCGAUACAUGAUGACGAGAAUUCCUGACUAAUUUUAUUCACGGUUACUUACAAAAAUUAAUUAUGAGACAUUUGUUUAUUGGACUAAUUAAUUUUACCGAUAAUGUAACGAACAUAACCAUAAACCACAUGAUGAGAAAAGUUACGUUAUCCACGCCCAUUUUGAUAAGGAGAAAACAGUCCAGAGAAGGAGAGUAUUCAACCCAUUGCUAAAAUAUAGCGUAGAAUUUCUUACGUCUUUCUUGUCUUGAGAGAAAGUCAACCCAAUAACAUUUGACUCUGAGGAAAAAGAGUUUUAUUUUGCAUACAAAAUAUUCCACGUAUACAAAAAAUAGAUAAAAAGUUGAGAGAACCAGAAUUACUUAAAUGAAAAUCGAUUUUCACAUUAGAUCCGGGUUAACCGUAGGAUAAAACUAAAAUAAAAGAGAGAAGAUAGAAUAGCUAUCAAAAACCUUAUGCAUGCUUCAUAGUUCGUUGUAAAUUAGUUGAUAGUCCAAUUACCCGGCCUUUUACAAUCGAUCAAUUCUCUGACGUUUGUCAAAUUUGUGACAUUAUGCUACCAAAUUAUAGACUUUAACCCGUUCUAUAAAAUUGCGACCAAGAAUUAAAGUAAUAACUUUACUUUUUGCUAAAAUAGGCUAUUUUUUGAGAUGACGAUGUGACCCACGCUGGUCCGGAAUGCCGAAUUUUGUCGCUAAAAUCUGUUCCCACCGAUUCGAAAAUGAAUUACCCUCUUUGACAUACAUUCAUGGAACAUGAACAAUUAUGGAAAGUUGGAUUUACAUCGUUCAACUAUUUAGGUUGUGUUUUGAAGUGGCAUAUGCUGGAACUUGCAUUAUGAGAUUAAGCUAAAUUGGAAAAACUACAAGUUAAAAGUCCUACCUAGUCCUAUGCUAAAUGCAUUAUUAAUUCCAUAUCUAAAAAGAAAUUUGAAUCUAUUCAAAGGCAAAUUGGCAUAGGCAAACUACUGGGCGUGCUACAAUCACGGGCUUGCCUUGACUUGUUCAUGGUAAGACGGACUUAUUUGGCUAGCAUUUUUGUAGUUUUCCAACCUCCAAUGAACUAAAAUUAAGCAAAUUGAUGCACAUUAAAUUGGGAAACUAUUCACCUGAUUAUGACUACAGGAAAGUGUAGCCCUAUCAAUUAGCAAGUCUUUAUAGUCAAAGUUAAAACACCAAGGUCAAGAAUAAAUUACAAUUUUGUUGUUCACAUUUAUACUCUUAAUGAGACUUUAGUCAGCUAUUAGUCACAACUCGAGUUCUAGAUAUUACAUAUCUCGACUUAUCAACCUUCUCAACUUAAUUGCACAUUUGUGCCAAAAAAAUUAAACAAAGUAUUUCAUUUUUACAACGGAAUUAUAUUUAAAUCGAUAAGUAUUUAUAUGGACGCCCAAGAUGCGUUCAUCGUUCUUGGCGAUGAUGAAGAUAUCCACAGUAGUUUAGAAACUGAGGUCAAUUCAUUGUGGGAGGUAAUACUUCUUAUCGCCGUUGUCCUUGGAAUUCUUAUCUUUCUGGCUUAUCGAAAAUGGAAAAUUCACCAAGCAAGGAAAAAAACGUUGGCGAUUUUUAACUUUCCAUACUCAGAGCUUUCAACCCCGAUCGUGUCUGCAGAAGUCUGCAACGGUUGAAAUUUUCCUUGGGCACAACUAAAUAGACGCAUUGAAUAAUUUACUAACGCGAUCGUAUAAAUUAUUUAUUACUAAUUAUUUCGUAUAAAAUAUAGAUAUAAACGAUUUCUCAUAUUCACAUUCACAAGAUUUAUGUAGGUUUGUUGGUCGUUUCUCAUUUUGUCUCAUGCAGUUCUUUCGCCAUACAGUGAGCGAAAGCGAAUAAACAAACUUUUUGUAUUUUCACGUGUGACAGCAA